UACGUAGGGGGCAAGCGUUGUCCGGAAUUAUUGGGCGUAAAGGGCGCGCAGGCGGUCUGGUAAGUUGUGGGUAAAAGGCAUUGGCUCAACCAAUGUAAGCCUGCAAAACUGUCAGACUUGAGUGCAGGAGAGGAGAGUGGAAUUCCCGGUGUAGCGGUGGAAUGCGUAGAGAUCGGGAGGAACACCAGUGGCGAAGGCGACUCUCUGGCCUGUAACUGACGCUGAGGCGCGAAAGCGUGGGUAGCGAACAGG
rnacentral:rRNA from 1 species